rnacentral:misc_RNA from 1 species
AAACAAUAAGAUGAAAAAGAUAUUGUUUCAUGACUUAUACUUGCACUUGUUCUUUAUUUGGACUCUGUGUAGCUUCCUCUGACAACCGUUUUAAAACACUUGUAUGCAGUGCCACUUCACCUGACAAAAUCCUUUGCUGCUCUCUCAGAAGGUCAAUUUGAUCAAUUGUCUUCAUGCUAGCCAGAGGAGUCUCUGGGUCCAAAAGGUUGUCUUCUGGAACUUCUUUAUCUAAUCUAACAUCAGAU